UACGGAGGGUGCAAACGUUGCUCGGAAUCAUUGGGCGUAAAGCGCACGUAGGCGGUCCGGUAAGUCGGAUGUGAAAGCCCUCGGCUCAACCGAGGAACUGCAUUCGAAACUGCCGGACUUGAGUACGGGAGAGGGAUGUGGAAUUCCCGGUGUAGAAGUGAAAUGCGUAGAUAUCGGGAGGAACACCAGUGGCGAAGGCGGCUCCCUGGACCGUAACUGACGCUGAGGCGCGAAAGCGGGGGGAGCAAACAGG
rnacentral:rRNA from 1 species